AGAAUUUGAUCUUGGUUCAGGAUGAACGCUGGCGGCGUGCCUAACACAUGCAAGUCGAGCGGAGAUAAGUUGAAGCCUAGCGAUUCUUAUCUUAGCGGCGGAUGGGUGAGUAACACGUGGGUAACCUGCCCUGUACUGGGGGAUAACAGCUGGAAACGGCUGUUAAUACCGCAUAUGCGCACGGAGCCGCAUGGCCCUGGGCGGAAAGAUUCAUCGGUACAGGAUGGGCCCGCGCCGGAUUAACUUGUUGGCGGGGUAACGGCCCACCAAGGUGAUGAUCCGUAGCCGACCUGAGAGGGUGACCGGCCACAUUGGGACUGAGACACGGCCCAAACUCCUACGGGAGGCAGCAGUGGGGGAUAUUGCACAAUGGGGGAAACCCUGAUGCAGCGACGCCGCGUGAAGGAAGAAGUAUUUCGGUAUGUAAACUUCUAUCAGCGGGGAAGAAGAUGACGGUACCCGCACAAGAAGCCCCGGCUAACUACGUGCCAGCCGCUGC
rnacentral:rRNA from 1 species